UAGAAAGUGGUGUAAUGGAAGCACCUGGAGUUUUGAUCUCUUGGGUAUAGGUUCAAAUCCUUUUUUUCUAG
rnacentral:tRNA from 1 species